rnacentral:rRNA from 1 species
AGUGAACGCUGGCGGUAGGCCUAACACAUGCAAGUCGAACGGCAGCACAGUAAGAGCUUGCUCUUACGGGUGGCGAGUGGCGGACGGGUGAGGAAUACAUCGGAAUCUACUUUUUCGUGGGGGAUAACGUAGGGAAACUUACGCUAAUACCGCAUACGACCUACGGUUGAAAGCAGGGGAGCUUCGGACCUUGCGCGAUUGAAUGAGCCGAUGUCGGCUUAGUUAGUUGGCGGGGUAAAGGCCCACCAAGGCGACGAUCCGUAGCUGGUGUGAGUGUCUGAUAAGCGACACUGGAACUGAGACACGCUCCAGACUCCUACGGGAGGCAGCAGUUGGGAAUAUUGGACAAUGGGCGCAAGCCUGAUCCAGCCAUCCCGCGUGGGUGGAGAAGGCCUUCGGGUUGUAAAGCCCUUUUGUUGGGAAAGAAAAGCAGCAGGUUAAUACCACGCUGUUCUGACGGUACCCAAAGAAUAAGCACCGGCUAACUUCGUG